rnacentral:misc_RNA from 1 species
ACUAGCAGCUGCCAAAGCUCGACAACAAGGUAAUGGUGAAGUUGAACUUCCAGAUAGGGAUCGGGGAGCUGAGGCAACACCUAGUGGUGAAGAGGAACCUGCCUUGAUCAAACCUGAUUCAAAUAAUUCUACCCCAACUGGAGUUAGGCUGCAUCACCGUGCUGUGGUUGUAGCUGCAGAGACUGGGGGUGCCCUAGGUGGCAUGGUGCGACAACUUUCAAUUGAUCAAUUUGAAAAUGAAGGCAGGCGAGUAAGUUAUGGAACCCCAGAAAAUGCAACAGCAGCGAGAAAACUUUUGGAUAGGCAAAUG